rnacentral:rRNA from 1 species
UACAGAGGGUGCAAGCGUUAAUCGGAAUUACUGGGCGUAAAGCGCACGUAGGUGGUUUGCUAAGCCAGCUGUGAAAUCCCCGGGCUCAACCUGGGCACUGCAGUUGGAACUGGCAAGCUAGAGUAGGGUAGAGGGGUGUGGAAUUCCAGGUGUAGCGGUGAAAUGCGUAGAUAUCUGGAGGAACAUCAGUGGCGAAGGCGACACCCUGGACUGAUACUGACACUGAGGUGCGAAAGCGUGGGGAGCAAACAGG